GGCCCCAUCGUCUAACGGUUAGGACGCGAGGUUUUCAACCUCGAAAUCGGAGUUCGAUUCUCCGUGGGGUCACCA
rnacentral:tRNA from 1 species